ensembl:lncRNA
AUGUGCCUCACGGUUUCUUUGUUAAGCUUGAACAAGCACAGGGGAGGGGGCUUAGGUGCGUACCAGGAUGUUCUGUCGCCCUUAUCUCUGGGUAGUAGCCCUUAUCUCUGGGUAGUAGCUAUCUGCCUUCUCUGUGAACUUAGUUUACUCCCCAUUUCCCAGGACUGUUUCAUUAAGGCCAUUCUUAUGGCGGCUCUUGGCUCUCAGCCGUUCCUUUCAAAGGUUCUCAUACUUUUCCAAAAACAAGCCCUUAAUGUGUUCAGUGCAGAUACUCCGCUGGUCGCUGUCGCUCGCUGCACUUCAGGGUUGUUACUGCGCGUUCUCUCAAGUAGACGAGGAAGGCGUCCACCUCCCCGACGGUACCCGAGCGCCCGGGAACGGCGAGAGGGAACCAGCACGCCCGCUCUGCUGCCACAGCGAUGGCGCGUCCCGGCUCCCGGCUCCCGACUCCCGGUGUCACAUCCAGGCGCCCCGGCUCCAGGCGUCCCGGCGUCCCGUGUCCCGGCACCCGGCUCCCGGCGUCCCGGCGUCCCGGCGUCCCCGCGUCCCGGCUCCCGGCGUCACGUCCAGGCGCCCCGGCUCCCGGCUCCCGGCUCCCGGCUCCCGACUCCCGGCGUCCCGGCUCCCGACUCCCGGUGUCCUGGCGUCCCGGCUCCCGACUCCCGGCGUCCCGGCUCCCGGCGUCCCGGCGUCCCGGCGUCCCGGCGUCCCGGCUCCGGGCUCCUGGCGUCACGUCCAGGCGCCCCGACUCCAGGUGUCCCGGAGUCCCCGCGUCCCGGCUCCCGGCUCCCGGCUCCCGACUCCCGGCGUCCCGGCUCCCGGCGUCACGUCCAGGCGCCCCGGCUCCAGGUGUCCCGGCUCCCGACUCCCGGCGUCCCGGCGUCCCGGCUCCCGGCGUCCCGUGCAGGCGCCAGGCGGGCUUGCCGGCCGAGGGCCGGUGUGUUCCCGUCCCACGGCGACGCCGGGGUGCUGGCUGGCUGGACGCGCUGCCUUCAGGAAGAGCGGCCGUCCCCGGACAGUGCCUGGCCGCCGUCGUCCUCCUGGUUAGCGCGGGGAGCGCAGGGCGGGUUCUGGAGCGCCGGUUCCUGCCUGAACCUGGGCCGCUGGUGUGCCCUGUGUGGGACAGACCCGGUGUGGCCCGUCCAUCUCACUUUGUGUCCUUAAAGUGGCGUUCAGGUGACCUCCUGAGGUAGGCGAGGCCGGAAGUGGCAGGAUCGUUUCUCCAGCUGUGAGCCCAGUGUCCGUCCACAGAGAUGCCUCCUCUGGAUGGCCACUUACUGCUUCUUGGAAUCUCCGAGCCCGGGGAAUUCAAGGACUCAGAAAACAUGGGAAUACACGCGGUGUAGAAAGGGCCUUUUGUGUUCUCAGGGAUGCAUCCUGGGUUGUAUUUCACUUUAUGUGGUCAGAAGCUGGCUUCCAGUGAACUGUGUGUGGGUCAGUCCAGUAGGAGUUUGAGACCCAGACACUUCUGUUCUCCUUUGUGUGGAAUUGUUUUAAAGUUUAUGUAUUUGAAAGGCAGAGCUAGAGAGAGAGGAACAGAGACGUCUUCCAUGGCUGGCUCCCUCCCCAGCUCAGGCUGGGACUAGCUGAACACAGGCGCUUCCUUCAUGUCUCCCAAGUAGGUGGCAGGAGCUGGACCAACUUCCACUGCUUUCCCAGGCACACUGGCAGGAAGCUGGAUCAGAAGUGCUUUAGCCAGGACUGGCACCUUUAUGGGAUGCUGGCACUGCAGGUGGAGGCUUAGCCCUGCGUGUGUCAGUGCAGAGAACUGAUUAUUGAAAUUGUCAGAUGGACAUUCAGCUAGUGCUGAUGAGUGCUUUGAAGAGCCUUCCAGGCAAGAUUAACAUAUGGAUGGAGGCAGAUUAUCAGGGAAGAUGGAGUGACUAGUGUUUUUUAAACACUGGGACCAUUUUGAAUCGUAACAUCAAUCAAUGGUUUGCAAAUAAUGUUAAAAAAUAGUAUAUAUAUAUAUAUAUAUAUAUAUAUAUAUAUCCAUAAGAAGAGUAACCUAGAGUAGCAGGCAUAUAUAGUCAGAACAAUUAUUGAUUUGUGAAAUUUUGGUUUAGUUAGAUAUAACACACAAUUCCCCUCCCCUCUCUCUUUCUGCCAACUUCCUUGUCCACUCCUCUCUAUCUCUGGAAGUUGUUCUCUCCAUUAGCCUUAAUUUUUUAAUUUUUAUUUUUUGGAAAGUAUUUAUUUGAAAGGAAGGAUGUAGAGAGAGAGGGAGAGACAUAGAGAAAAAAGAGAAAUCUUCCAUCUGCUGGUUCACUCAGAUGGCCACAACUCCUGGGGCUUGCCCAGAGUGAAGCCAGAAGCCCAGAACUCCCUCCAGGUCUCCCACAUGGAUGACAGGGAUCCAAGCACAUUAGCAGGGAGCUGGAUCAGCAGCAGAGCAGUUGGCUUUUGAACCAGCACCCCAACAUGGUAUGAGGCAGCAGCCCAGCCCAUUCUGCUACAAUGCCAGCUGCAAACUUAAUUAAAACAAUUUUUUUUUUGUAAAGAAGACAAAAGUUGAGCAUUACAUUGUUAACCUCCAAUACCAACUACUCACCUUCAACAGUCAACAGCUUUCUGAUUUGAUCAUAUAGUUUUGGUCCUCAGAGGUGUGUUGAGAGGUAGUUAAGGCAUCAGGAGGAAAGGGAGUUGCCAUCAUCUCUCAUCUCAGAAGUAGCCUGAAGGAAGAGCAGCAGAGAGGAAAAUGCAGUCUAGGUCUUCAGAAUCUUAUUUUUGUGGGUCAUAUAUAUUUGUGUUUGUGUCUUGUUUUAUCAGUCACUUUGUUUAAGUAAAAUAGGAGUUUUGUUCUUUUUCCCGAUAUUCUUAUAGAGUUAGAUUUGGAGGUGGGGACAUGGGGAUAGGGAAUAUUCAGGGCCAUGUUAAAUAAAAGAAAUUAGGUAUAGGAAAAAUAGCCA